GAUGAAGAACGUAGCGAAAUGCGAUAAGUAAAGUGAAUUGCAGAAUUCAGUGAAUCAUCGAAUCUUUGAACGCACAUUGCGCCCGCCAGUAUUCUGGCGGGCAUGCCUGUUCGAGCGUCAUUUCAACCAUCAAGCCCCCGGCUUGUGUUGGGGACCUGCGGCUGCCGCAGGCCCUGAAAAGCAGUGGCGGGCUCGCUGUCACACCGAGCGUAGUAGCAUACAUCUCGCUCUGGGCGUGCUGCGGGUUCCGGCCGUUAAACCACCUUCAUAACCCAAGGUUGACCUCGGAUCAGGUAGGAAGACCCGCUGAACUUAAGCAUAUCAAUAAGCGGAGGA
rnacentral:misc_RNA from 1 species